GCCUGGCUGGCUCCGUCGGUAGAGCCUGUGACUCUUGAUCUCAGGGUUGUGGGUUUGAGCCCCACUUUGGGUG
rnacentral:tRNA from 1 species